UCUAAUGUGGCAGAAUAAUAUGUCAUGAAUUUAAAAUUCAUUUAUAAAUAUUUAUAUUUCUUUAGAA
rnacentral:tRNA from 1 species